rnacentral:rRNA from 1 species
UACGUAGGGUGCAAGCGUUGUCCGGAAUUAUUGGGCGUAAAGAGCUCGUAGGCGGUCUGUUGCGUCGGCUGUGAAAACCCGGGGCUCAACUCCGGGCCUGCAGCCGAUACGGGCAGACUAGAGUUCGGCAGGGGAGACUGGAAUUCCUGGUGUAGCGGUGAAAUUCGUAGAUAUCAGGAGGAACACCGGUGGCGAAGGCGACCACCUGGACGAUGAUUGACGCUGAGGCGCGAAAGCGUGGGAAGCAAACAGG